rnacentral:rRNA from 1 species
CAGGACGAACGCUGGCGGCGUGCCUAACACAUGCAAGUCGAGCGGAGUCAGUAAGAGGAAGUUUCGGAUGGAAUCUUAUUGAUUUAGCGGCGGACGGGUGAGUAACGCGUGAGCGACCAACCUUGCACAGGGGGAUAACGGACCGAAAGGUUCACUAAUACCGCAUGAGACCACGGUGUUGCAUGACACAGGGGUCAAAGGAGUAAUCCGGUGCAAGACGGGCUCGCGUCCGAUUAGGUAGUUGGAGGGGUAACGGCCCCACCAAGCCUAUGAUCGGUAGCCGACCUGAGAGGGUGAUCGGCCACAUUGGAACUGAGAUACGGUCCAAGCUCCUACGGGAGGCAGCAGUGGGGAAUAUUGGGCAAUGGGGGGAAAAACCCCUGACCCAGCAACGCCGCGUGAAGGAAGAAGGUUUUCGGAUUGUAAACUUCUGUCCUUGGUGAAGAGAAGAAGACGGUAGCCAAGGAGGAAGCCCCGGCUAACUACGUGCCAGCAGCCGC